CCUGAUUUGACGAUGGAUCACUAGUGAGUGGCGGACGGGUGAGUAACACGUAGUAACCUCGCCCGGAGGCGGGGAUAACAUUUUAGGAAACAGAUGACUAAUACCGCAAUAACAAACAAAAGCCACAUGGUCUUUUUGUUUGAAAGAUGGCUUUUGGCUAUCACUCUGGGAUGGACCUGCGGUGCAUUAGCUAGUUGGUAAGGUAACGGCUUACCAAGGCGAUGAUGCAUAGCCGAGUUGAGAGACUGAUCGGCCACAAUGGAACUGAGACACGGUCCAUACUCCUACGGGAGGCAGCAGUAGGGAAUCUUCCACAAUGGGCGCAAGCCUGAUGGAGCAACACCGCGUGAGUGAAGAAGGGUUUCGGCUCGUAAAGCUCUGUUGUUGGAGAAGAACGUGCGUGAGAGCAACUGUUCACGCAGUGACGGUAUCCAACCAGAAAGUCACGGCUAACUACGUGCC
rnacentral:rRNA from 1 species